UGCAGGGCGGGGCGUGAGUCUCCGGGCCGCGGUUCCGUGACACUGGGAUAGGCGGGCGCGAAGGGCCGGCCCCACCCCAGCCCGUUCACCUGCGUGCGAACCACCAGCCCUACCCGAAGUGGGGAGCUUGGGGGUGGGGAGGGAUCUCUCCGCUUCCUUGUGCGCCCCAGCACCUGAGGCCCCGCACCCGCGGGGCGUCAGCCGGAGAUUUUCAAACCACGGUUGACUGCGGAUAACAAAUUGCAGAAAGUGAAACAUGGAUAAAGGGGCCUACUGUACUUCUGUAAACAAUCUGAGAAGUCUGUAUGAGAAACUGGUAUUAUAAAGAACCUUGCUCAUACAGGUUGCUCAAUGAAAUGUAUUUCUCAUGAAGCAUAUAUGAAAAUAAUUGCAGUCAUUUAU